ACGAACGCUGGCGGCGUGCUUAACACAUGCAAGUCGAGCGGUAAGGCCCUUUCGGGGGUACGACGAGCGGCGAACGGGUGAGUAACACGUGGGUGACCUGCCCUUAGCUCUGGGAUAAGCCUGGGAAACUGGGUCUAAUACCGGAUAUGACUCCAUGACGCAUGUUGUGGGGUGGAAAGCCUUGUGCGGCUAGGGAUGGGCCCGCGGCCUAUCAGCUUGUUGGUGGGGUGAUGGCCUACCAAGGCGACGACGGGUAGCCGGCCUGAGAGGGCGACCGGCCACACUGGGACUGAGACACGGCCCAGACUCCUACAGGAGGCAGCAGUGGGGAAUCUUGCGCAAUGGGCGAAAGCCUGACGCAGCGACGCCGCGUGAGGGAUGACGG
rnacentral:rRNA from 1 species